rnacentral:lncRNA from 1 species
AAGUCAUUGGGCGGAAGUGGAGAAACAACACUUGCUAAAAGAAAUUCCUUUUAGCAACUCAAUAUUAGGCUUUGGAGUUUUUUUAGCCAGAGUUGUUUUCCCUCUUCUCAACUCUGUAGAUCUGCAGAACUUUAUUUCUCUAUUUAUGCCUUUUUCACUUUUUUUGUUGAGUAAAAGUUAUUUUUUCGGGAUCUGUUCAGAUAUUUUCCUUAUUCCGUUUGGGGAUCACUGAGAAGUUCAUUUCAUCUAAUAUAGGUUGAUUCCUACGGCGAAAUUGAAUUAGUGUUUCCAAUUUCUCGUCUCCUCAAUUUUUUUUUGUUUCAGUUUAGGUUGCUUGAGCUUGCUAACUGUAUUCUUCAUUUUUUUUUGUGAGCGCGUACUGGUCAGGAUGAUGAAGAAGACUAUAAACAACCAAGCCAUGGAACUGAGCUACCUGCUUGAAAAAAUUGAUACAGUAAGUGCUAUUCUACAUUCAGAUUUAUUCUUAUUGAUUUGACUAUUGAGCUUGCUGCUUUGUUUUUUCACACUAUGAAGUUACUCUCCCGUUUACUAACGACAUUAGCUGUUCCUGCUCAGCCAUACCACCUAGUAGUAAAAGAAGACUUGUAGAAUAAACAUUUACAGAGAACAUAACUGAUACAAGGCAUCACUGUUCUGUUUUAAUAUUUGGACCUUCCACUGGUUAAGAAGACUGGGCGUUUUCAUUAACAAGUAGACAACAAUUAGUAUAGUGAUUGUUGUUGACUUGUUGACGCUUUCCCCUUUCUGUGAUAAUCUAUUGCUUUGAAUUCUCAAUUAUCCCCAACCAUAAAGUGAAGGGAAGGCCAAAGUGGUUAAGAUGAUCCUAAUUCCUAAGAACCAAAAGUCAUGCAAUUGACUUGAAAUAAAAUUUUCUAUUAAUUUUGUUUUACAAGAGGAUGCAACGUAUUGAUUCACACAAACUUAGGAUGUAUUUAAUUGGAUAUUCAUGAAUGAGCAUGGCUAAAGAGUAAGGUUCUGAAGUACCAAACAAUCUCCCCUUUGUCAUUCUUUGAGAAGUAUAAUUAUAACCACUUGCACUUAGACAUCUAUAUUAAUAAAACAUUCUUUAGCAUCCUUAAACCAACUAGCUGACAUGUACAUAAGAUGAAGGAUGGUAUUAUGUUUAUUUGUGGACCACUAUAAAAGAAGAAACAUACAAACUCCUUAAAGAUUGUACCCAGUUUUGAAAUAUACAAGCAGUGGAUCUACUUGAUGAACACUGAUUCAUUAAGUAUUUCCCUUUUGGUCAUGCACUAAGGAAUGAAUCACAAGAACAACACAUCCAUUUAACACAAACGAGGGGCUCUUAUUCUCUGGACGAUAUAAAUUAAAGGACACAGGGAGUUGCCUUGGGUAUAGCAAACCAACCCUCCCAAGAAGGUAACUAUGUCUAAUUAGAACAUUACUGACCAAAUGACAAUGUCGACUUAGGAUAGAAGGUGCCUCCCUUUAACACAAAAUAAUAUACUAUUAACAAAUAUGAGUUUCUAACUGAGUAGAGGUAAGCUUAUAUUUUAUAUCACCAAAUUGUGAACUCAUGAAAAGCUUAAAAUAUGCAUAUUCCGGAGUCAAACAAACAAAUGAUGUCCCACUUAUGAACAAGAUCAAGAUGAAUGCCCUAUUAUUAUUUUAUUUUUGGUGUAAAGAGGAAUUUACCGUCAAUACUGAAUCUAUCCUAGAGAUUUUAGAAUCCUUGUAAGUUGUAUAGGAUAUAUGACUAAAUGGAAAGUUAGCUCAAAAGAACGACUUUAAAUGUUGGCAUGAGUUUAGCAAGAAUAGAAAUUAACAGUCAUGAGAUAGAAUUCUGAUAGAAACUUUCGAAUUGAAUUUAACACGAAACUUACAUAUUACUGAAAUUACAUUAAAAAGGGAAAACAUUAUGUGAGCUGAUUGCUUCCCUGUUCUUAUUUACUGUAUUUUAGUGUCCAGGUUCAAAAGGAAAAUUCUGCCCCUGUUGCGGUCAAGGAAAAUUAUUGGGCGUGAAAGAUAAGAUGUGUAUUACACUAUUACAAACUUGUAAGUCACCACUGAUUCAAGAUAUGAUCAUGACAAAGCAGCCUAUAAUUUUUAAGGCUUUGAUUCAGCGGCAGAAGUCAUGGUUAACGGGCGAAAACCAUGAUCAAGACUAGCUUUCCACACUCUUUCAAUAUCAAACAUCAUAUUACCACACUCAUUCUCAUUCCAGCCUUCCAAUGCGUGCAAAAUCCCUGCUAUUCUUGAUGCACUCAUCACCCUUCUUGGUAGCCAGUUCUGGGGUUAUAAUAUUAGUCAUAAGUUUACUUUAAUUAUCCGAAAAGAUCAAACAAAAAAUUUAGGAAUUUAAAAUUAUCUUCUCUAACCUCACAAGAGUCUACAUUUUCAAGUUGUUUUGGGAUAGUCAUGGCUGGUGUGCUGAAGUAGAUGCAAUCCUUGCGAGCUUUCCUUGGUGGAAACUGUGAAAAAGGAAUAAACAAUGUUCCUUUUGGUGCUUUCAAUUGUUCAUCUUCACUCAAUCUGUCCCCUACUAGCCAUAUCUGCAAUACAAUACUUCAAUCAAGAACUAUUUUCUGCGAGACCGUGGGGUGAGGGAGAGGGAGAGGGAGAGGGAGAGGGAAGAGUUCUCUUUUUUUGUUUGAAUUUUUUGAAAUCUAAAAUGGUUCAGAGGUCAAUUAUGAAUUAGUCUGGAUUAGGAGAGAAGGGGGAGGGGAAUGGAGUUGUUAUAAAUUAUCAAGAUUCAGGAAAGUAUUAUCUGAUGUAUUAUGGUUUAUACCUUUGACGCAUUAGUCUUUGAAAGGACCAAAUUGGUAGCAACCUUGGGGGUAAGCCUUGCUUUAAGUCUCUUGAACUCUUCUCCGUCUAACAUGACAACCUAUAUGUUAAAAAAAUUCAAUGAAUGAAAGUCUGGGAAACCAAAAUCAUGGAGGAGAUUAAGUGCAAGAUACCUGAAUUCCUCUUUGGCACAAGACAAGGGCAAUGGAGCAAGAAACUUUGGACAAACGACCUCUAAGGACCACUUGGGAAGUUCCUUUAGGAAUGUUGUUUAGGACCACAGCAACAACUAGACUACUUCCAUCAACCACUUUCACUUUCAACUGCGGAUGCCUCCUUAUGUAAAGUUCACCGUUAUUAUUCAGCUCCUCUUCCUGUUAGAACGUUACAUUGUGUGACAUUGUAAGUAUCAACUGGAACCCUCUUUCGUCCAGCCAACAAACAUUGGAUAUAAGGUGUUGGGAGAAUUUUUUUUAAAUUCAUUUUCUCCCUAAUAGUGAAUAUCUGCCAUAGCUAACAGAAUGUUUUUCUCAGAAAAUUGCAUUUUAGGUAGAGAUCAUGCAUUUUUCUUAUAUAUAAAGUAAGGAUGAGAAUUAUUCGAUUUUCUAUUGUCUUUACUUACCUGAUUUAGGAGUCCAAGGCUCAAAACUUUUAUGCCUUUCAGAUCAGCUUCCAUGAUGGCUUCCUCAAUCAAAUUGUUAAUAGUAUCUCUUUGCCCUUGCAUAAAGUACUGAACAAAAUAAAAAAUUAGGUCAACUAGUCUUUAAUAAUGUAUCCAGAACAUACAAGUCAUGAUUAACAAUAAUUUCUUACUUGUUUCCUGUAUUUUGGGAUAGCCCAAGUUUGUAAUUUAAGAUUCCUGAAUAAAUUUCUCUCAACAACAAAUGUUUGACCAUAAAUCCAAGUAAUAAAAAACGACCAUAGGGUAACGGGCCACAUUAACCAAAAAUACCACUUGGAAGCGUGAGGCGUCGAGGCCAAGGAUGCAAACCCUAGUCGGAGAUGGUAGAUAGAUUCAGGGGUUGUUAGAUGUGUUAGGUGCACCACAUCAGGCAAUUCAGCUUUCCUCUCAAGUGACUUUUCAUACAAUGUAUCUGACGACUUGUCCACUGUACCAUACAGAUAGUCAUACAUUGGCAUGAAAAGUGAAUAAUUUGUUCUAAAUUGAGUGUGAUGUAGCGAGUGAUACCUGUGCCAUCAAAGAAUUGACAUUAGUUGUAAUAAAUAAAACAAAAUCAUCAGGGAUUACUAGUCUGCCUAGUCAGUAUGAAAAAAAUACAUUUGAAGGAAGACUUCUAUUUCCAUUUUCCCUUUUAUUUCCUGGUGAACUAAACUUGGAUACAAAAUUUCUGUUCACUGAGGCGUCUAACUUUGUACAGAAGUACCAAAAUUGCAUCUUUUUUGUCACUUCUAAUUAAACUGCUCUGCUACCUUCUAGAUAUGCAUGAAUAAAUACGUCUCGGGGUCCCUGAAUGUGAAGAAACAUUAAUGUUCUGGAAGUAAAAAAAUGAAAAAGUUAUUUGUGUAGAUUAUCUUUGUCGAUCCAGUUUCCAAAGAGAUCCAAAAGUGGGGGAUUGUGCAUUUGAGCCUUUUACUUUGCACUUUUCCUUCAAAUUAGUGUUUCCUGAUCAGUCAUCUCCAAACCAAACUUCCAAAACAACUUCCCUCUUCCUUUCUGUUUCUUUUUUUUUCUCCAUGGAUAUAAUAAUAUUUUGUGGCCAACGAACUUUAUCCACUGUAAAAGUAAGUCACCUUAUUUGGUAGGUUUUGUCAUUGGGUAAAGUUUAGUGACUUUACUAUUGUAGCGAGUAAAUUUCAACUACUUUAAUGUAACAAAAAAGUUAUGUGACUUUACUGUUAUAGUCGGUAAAGUUUAGUUACUUUACUGUUCUACCGGGUACAGUUAAGUUGCUUUAGCGCGACAAAACAAUUUCUAACUUUACCAUUAUAAUGAAUAAAGUACGUGAAAUUUAACCCUUAAAAGUUUCUAGUAAAUUUCUUUUACUUGUAACUGUUUCGAAUUAUAUUUGUUCACCCAAAUAAAUUCCGAUGAUAUUUCAAAUCCCUGUUAAAGAUAGCCAUUGCAAAUGAAAGUUGAACAUGAAAAGACACAGCAGGGUGAAAAAACACAUGGUGGGUGAAGUCUUGUCAAGGCAAAGACAAACAAACGUCUAAAGCAUAGUUGAUGCUAUAACUAUAAAAGUUUAAAUAUAGGGAAAACAGACUCACGAGGGCGUAUAUAUCAAGUACUUGAGAGGGGGAAACAUAGAGAACAUCCACUUAGGAAUGAGCUCAAAGUUGCAAUGCCCCAUGUUGUUCAUGAAAUCAACGUAAGUGAUGUACGCACCAAAUGCAGCUAUAGAAGCAGUUCCAGUGAAAAAAGUUGUGACCCCCGGUAUAAGAAAGAGCGUGUAAUAUGCUAUGAUCUCAGCAAACGGAUGAAUAACAGCUGCAACAAUAAAAAACUUUGCUUUGUAAUUAUUUGCAGAUAGGUCAUUGAUUGUCUUUGAAAUUAAACUGAAACCAAGUGACCUAUAAGCCAGCAGGCAGGUCUUUAAUAUGCAGAAAGCCAAUCUACAAAGUACUUAUAUUCUCAUCCAUCCCAUUUAAAUCAUAUAUAUGAGUGACAGCCAUUCUACAAGAUCUUUUUAACAUUAUCUACUGACUACUGUCGAUAUUAUUUUCUAGGUUACUAUGUCAGGCUUAAUAUAAGCUCCUUGUAAUAUCUGAUGUAUUUUCUCCAAGACUGAUUGUUCUUCCUCUAGAAAACUACAUCAAAUUAAACAUAUGAUACAAAACGUUUACGAAGACGACUUACAAGUGAUGGGCUCAGUAACAAUGGAGGAGUGAUGAUGGGAAUGAUAACGAGA